ACCCUUUUCCCCUCGGCCUCCGGGGCCCCCGUGCCUCUCCGGCCGUGCCCCGCCUGCCGCGCGGAGGCGGCUCCUCAGGUGGCAGAGCCGGGGCCUCCCCCAGCAGACCUGUCACCCGACACCCAGGAAGCGCGCGGCCCCAUCCCGGCUCCUCUUUGUUCCCCCGCCGGGCUCCUGCUCGGGCGCCGCCUCCUCCCGCGUAGCGCUGUGGAGGUUCGGGGCGCCGCCCUCGGCCGGGACGUGCCCCGGGCUCCGUCCAUCCGGCCCCCUCCGAACCAGGGCCCUUUUUGUCUUGUUGUUCCCAUGUGGACUCCGCGCGGAGCUGGGAGGCGGCGGUGCGCCCAGCCCGGAGCCGGCGCAGAGGCAGUGGGCCCUACAGAGAGGUGGACUGUGCCUCACAGAAGAACUUCCUUAUGGUCCGUCAGGCCAUGAUUUAAGACAGUAACAUGACCUCUUUGUCAAGAGCGGAGCUAAAUGGAAGCCUUCAAAUCACUGAUGUUGACCCCACCGUGGGUAAAAGUGUGGCAUGACCUCCUUUUAUUUGGUCUUGAUUUCUCAUUCCCAUUUUCUCACUUCAUCGUAUACAUCUUUUGUACAACCUUCACAUUCUUUUUGGGGAAGUGUUACAACCAAUGAAAAUGUUCUAAAAUUACAUUAUAUGAUGUUUGGACAACUUUGUAAAGACACUGAAGACCUUUGAGCUGCUCCCUUUAAAACAGGCUACCUGUCAUGUAACUUCUCAAUAAAGCUGUUUUUAAACAC